GAUGAACGCUGGCGGCGUGCUUAACACAUGCAAGUCGAACGGUGAAGCCAAGCUUGCUUGGUGGUUCAGUGGCGAACGGGUGAGUAACACGUGAGCAACCUGCCCUGGACUCUGGGAUAAGCGCUGGAAACGGCGUCUAAUACUGGAUAUUAGCCUCUUCCGCAUGGUGGGGGUUGGAAAGAUUUUUUGGUUUGGGAUGGGCUCGCGGCCUAUCAGCUUGUUGGUGAGGUAAUGGCUCACCAAGGCGUCGCCGGGUAGCCGGCCUGAGAGGGUGACCGGCCACAAGGGGACUGAGACACGGCCCAGACUCCUACGGGAGGCAGCAGUGGGGAAUAUUGCACAAUGGGCGAAAGCCUGAUGCAGAAACGCCGCGUGAGGGAUGACGGCCUUCGGGUUGUAAACCUCUUUGAGCAGGGAAGAAGCGAAAGUGACGGUACCUGCAGAAAAAGCGCCGGCUAACUACGUG
rnacentral:rRNA from 1 species